GCGGUGUGCCUAAGGUAUGCAAGUCGAACGGUCCUUAUGAUUAUCAUUUGGACAGUGGCAGACUGGUGAGUAACGCGUGGAUAAUCUGCCCCGAAGAUGAGGAUAGCUCGCCGAAAGGUGAGGUAAUCCUCAAUGGUGUGGGAAGUACAUAUGUACAUCCCACUAAAGCUUUAGCGCUUCGGGAUGAGUCUGCGUCCUAUCAGCUUGUUGGUAGAGUAAAGGUCUACCAAGGCUAAGACGGGUAACUGGUCUGAGAGGAUGGUCAGUCACAGUGGCACUGAAACACGGGCCACACUCCUACGGGAGGCAGCAAUUAGGAAUCUUGCACAAUGGAGGAAACUCUGAUGCAGCGACACCGCGUGAAGGAUGAAGACCCUCGGGUUGUAAACUUCUUUUAUAAUCUAACAAGUUCUGAGUGGAGUAUGAAUAAGCACCUGCUAACUGCGUGCCAGAAGCAUCGGUGAAGCGUGGGGUGCGAGCGUUAUCCGGAUUUAUUGGGCGUAAAGAGAUGCGUAGGCGUUUUGGUAAGUCUUCUGUCAAAGCCUUCGGCCUAACCGAAGAAAGGCAGAGGAUACUAUCAGAAUUGAGACAGAGAGGGGGAAGUGGAAUUCCCGGUGGAGCGGUGAAAUGCGUUGAUAUCGGGAGGAACACCAGUGGCGAAGGCAACUUCCUGGCUCUGUUCUGACGCUGAGGCUCGAAAGCGUGGAGAGCAAAGCGGAUUAGAUACCCGUGUAGUCCAUGCUGUAAACGUUGGAUACUGGACGUUUGG
rnacentral:rRNA from 1 species